rnacentral:rRNA from 1 species
UACAGAGGUCUCAACCGUUGUUCGGAUUCACUGGGCGUAAAGGGUGCGUAGGCGGUCGGGUAAGUCUAAUGUGAAAUCUCACAGCUUAACUGUGAAACUGCAUUGGAUACUACUCGGCUAGAGAGUUGGAGGGGGGACUGGAAUUCUUGGUGUAGCAGUGAAAUGCGUAGAUAUUGGGAGGAACACCAGUGGCGAAGGCGACUGUCUGGACGGCACCUGACGCUGAGGCGCGAAAGCGUGGGGAGCAAACAGG